GACGAACGCUGGCGGCGUGCUUAACACAUGCAAGUCGAACGGAAAGGCCCUGCUUUUGUGGGGUGCUCGAGUGGCGAACGGGUGAGUAACACGUGAGUAACCUGCCCUUGACUUUGGGAUAACUUCAGGAAACUGGGGCUAAUACCGGAUAGGAGCUCCUGCUGCAUGGUGGGGGUUGGAAAGUUUCGGCGGUUGGGGAUGGACUCGCGGCUUAUCAGCUUGUUGGUGGGGUAGUGGCUUACCAAGGCUUUGACGGGUAGCCGGCCUGAGAGGGUGACCGGCCACAUUGGGACUGAGAUACGGCCCAGACUCCUACGGGAGGCAGCAGUGGGGAAUAUUGCACAAUGGGCGGAGGCCUGAUGCAGCAACGCCGCGUGCGGGAUGACGGCCCUCGGGUUGUAAACCGCUUUCGCCUGUGACGAAGCGUGAGUGACGGUAAUGGGUAAAGAAGCACCGGCUAACUACGUGCCAGCAGCCGCGGUGAUACGUAGGGUGCGAGCGUUGUCCGGAUUUAUUGGGCGUAAAGGGCUCGUAGGUGGUUGAUCGCGUCGGAAGUGUAAUCUUGGGGCUUAACCCUGAGCGUGCUUUCGAUACGGGUUGACUUGAGGAAGGUAGGGGAGAAUGGAAUUCCUGGUGGAGCGGUGGAAUGCGCAGAUAUCAGGAGGAACACCAGUGGCGAAGGCGGUUCUCUGGGCCUUUCCUGACGCUGAGGAGCGAAAGCGUGGGGAGCGAACAGGCUUAGAUACCCUGGUAGUCCACGCUGUAAACGGUGGGUACUAGGUGUGGGGUCCAUUCCACGGGUUCCGUGCCGUAGCUAACGCUUUAAGUACCCCGCCUGGGGAGUACGGCCGCAAGGCUAAAACUCAAAGGAAUUGACGGGGCCCCGCACAAGCGGCGGAGCAUGCGGAUUAAUUCGAUGCAACGCGUAGAACCUUACCUGGGUUUGACAUGGAUCGGGAGUGCUCAGAGAUGGGUGUGCCUCUUUUGGGGUCGGUUCACAGGUGGUGCAUGGCUGUCGUCAGCUCGUGUCGUGAGAUGUUGGGUUAAGUCCCGCAACGAGCGCAACCCUUGUUCACUGUUGCCAGCACGUUAUGGUGGGGACUCAGUGGAGACCGCCGGGGUCAACUCGGAGGAAGGUGGGGAUGACGUCAGGUCAUCAUGCCCCUUAUGUCCAGGGCUUCACGCAUGCUACAAUGGCUGGUACAGAGAGUGGCGAGCCUGUGAGGGUGAGCGAAUCUCGGAAAGCCGGUCUCAGUUCGGAUUGGGGUCUGCAACUCGACCUCAUGAAGUCGGAGUCGCUAGUAAUCGCAGAUCAGCAACGCUGCGGUGAAUACGUUCCCGGG
rnacentral:rRNA from 1 species